GUUGAAACACCGGUUUUCGUACGAUCACCGAGGUUAAGCAACAUCGAGCCUGGUCAGUAGCUAGAUGGGUGACUGUUUGCUAAUAUCUAGAUGCUGUAAA